rnacentral:siRNA from 1 species
GACGUCGUAUCUGUGACAUCUA